AUAGCUCGAUUGAUUUACUUUGCUGUGAGAUUACACAUGUAUAUAGUGUUAAUUCUAUAAAUAUGUAAGUAUCAACUCACAAAGUUAUCAGGUUAAAAUAGCUUUAUCAAUUAAUAAAGUGUUGUUAUAUGACUUUAUAUGUCAUUCCUGCGUAGGUGGGAAUUUGGUAAAACUGUUAUCCUGCGAUUCGGUCAAGGGAUCUCAGGACAUAACUAUGAAAUAAAAUCUGUAGAUUAAAAUACAUUAUAAUGUUCAAAGUCUUUUAGAGUCAUACAACAACACUAACAGCAAAACAAUACAAAUCUACCAUUUAAAAAGUUUGUAUUGCUAGCUUGGUGGUUAUAGCAUGAGUGAAACACACGA
rnacentral:misc_RNA from 1 species